rnacentral:rRNA from 1 species
GUAGGGUGCGAGCGUUGUCCGGAUUUAUUGGGCGUAAAGGGCUCGUAGGUGGUUGAUCGCGUCGGAAGUGUAAUCUUGGGGCUUAACCCUGAGCGUGCUUUCGAUACGGGUUGACUUGAGGAAGGUAGGGGAGAAUGGGAUUCCUGGUGGAGCGGUGGAAUGCGCAGAUAUCAGGAGGAACACCAGUGGCGAAGGCGGUUCUCUGGGCCUUUCCUGACGCUGAGGAGCGAAAGCGUGGGGAGCGAACAGGCUUAGAUACCCUGGUAGUCCACGCUGUAAACGGUGGGUACUAGGUGUGGGGUCCAUUCCACGGGUUCCGUGCCGUAGCUAACGCUUUAAGUACCCCGCCUGGGGAGUACGGCCGCAAGGCUAAAACUCAAAGGAAUUGACGGGGCCCCGCACAAGCGGCGGAGCAUGCGGAUUAAUUCGAUGCAACGCGUAGAACCUUACCUGGGUUUGACAUGGAUCGGGAGUGCUCAGAGAUGGGUGUGCCUCUUUUGGGGUCGGUUCACAGGUGGUGCAUGGCUGUCGUCAGCUCGUGUCGUGAGAUGUUGGGUUAAGUCCCGCAACGAGCGCAACCCUUGUUCACUGUUGCCAGCACGUUAUGGUGGGGACUCAGUGGAGACCGCCGGGGUCAACUCGGAGGAAGGUGGGGAUGACGUCAAGUCAUCAUGCCCCUUAUGUCCAGGGCUUCACGCAUGCUACAAUGGCUGGUACAGAGAGUGGCGAGCCUGUGAGGGUGAGCGAAUCUCGGAAAGCCGGUCUCAGUUCGGAUUGGGGUCUGCAACUCGACCUCAUGAAGUCGGAGUCGCUAGUAAUCGCAGAUCAGCAACGCUGCGGUGAAUACGUUCCCGGGGCUUGUACACACCGCCCGU